GCUUGUCUCAAAGAUUAAGCCAUGCAUGUCUAAGUAUAAAUGGUAUACAGUGAAACUGCGAAUGGCUCAUUAAAACAGUUAUAGUUUAUUUGGUAUUCGAAUUUACAUGGAUAACCGUGGUAAUUCUAGAGCUAAUACAUGCAUUACGCCUGACUUUUCGGAAGGGCAGUAUUUAUUAGAUAACAGACCAUCUCCCCCAAAGGAAAUGUGGUGAAUCAUAAUAACUUAACGAAUCGCAUGGCCUUGCGCCGGCGAUGGUUCAUUCAAAUUUCUGCCCUAUCAACUUUCGAUGGUAGGAUAGUGGCCUACCAUGGUGGCAACGGGUAACGGGGAAUUAGGGUUCGAUUCCGGAGAGGGAGCCUGAGAAACGGCUACCACAUCCAAGGAAGGCAGCAGG
rnacentral:rRNA from 1 species